UACGUAGGGCGCAAGCGUUGUCCGGAAUUAUUGGGCGUAAAGAGCUCGUAGGCGGUUUGUCGCGUCUGCUGUGAAAACUCGAGGCUCAACCUCGGGCUUGCAGUGGGUACGGGCAGACUAGAGUGCGGUAGGGGUGACUGGAAUUCCUGGUGUAGCGGUGGAAUGCGCAGAUAUCAGGAGGAACACCGAUGGCGAAGGCAGGUCACUGGGCCGCAACUGACGCUGGAGGGAGCGGAAAGCAUGGGGAGCGA
rnacentral:rRNA from 1 species